GGGGGUGACUGUUUCCAAGCUCAUUCAGAUCUUUAGACUAACUCAUUUCCUUGCGGCUAUAGGACUGGCCAUUAUUCCUGCUGUUUUACUGGCUGGUGACCACAGGCUGCCCUCAGGUCAUAGAAGCUGCCCAUAGGUCCUUGCCACAGGGCCAUCUCCAAAAUGGCUACUUAUUUUAUUAAGCCUGCAAAGAGAAUCUCUGACCUCAGGGUUAAGUCAGAUCCAUCCAGGAUAAACUCUCUUUUGGUUAACUCAGAGAUAAUUGAUUGGAGGCCUUAUGUCCAUCUCCACAAUUAUUUCACUGUUGCCAUAUUCUAAUGGCUAGAAGCAUGUCCCAGGUCUCGUCCACACCCAAGGGCAGAGGGCUGUACAGGGCAUGAACAGCAGGGGGGCAGGAAUCAUGGGGCCCACCCAAGGGUCUGUCUGAAUGUCCUCUAAGGCUUUUCCUUCAGCUACAAACUCAACAGAGAACAUAUUCCUCUGAAUGGAAUAAAUAGUGUAGACACUUGAAAUACAAACUUGAAAGCCUUUCAGGGCCCACAGCUCUGAUAGAAGUCAUCAAGGGCCAUGUGGACAGUCUUUGGUCUUCUCUGCCCUGGCCCUGGCCCAUUCACUAGAUAUAUUUCUAUAUUAAUAUGCCAAGUGUCUCUGGGGCUGGAAACUCCAAUAAUUAUGAUGUACUGAUCUGUACAGGUCAGGAUUUCAUUAGUGGUUAAGUCUACAGGUAAACUUUCUGUGGCAAUAUGACUUUUUUCAUUGCACUCAUUUUCGAGUCACAUUUGCCUUUGGGGUCAGGUGAGAUCGGCUACUUCAACAGGCAGAUGAAUUAUUAAAGAUGCUGAACUUUAACCAGCACAGCCAUGCCUUUCUCAAGUAUUUAUGAGAAGGGGGGUGAAUCAGCUCUAGGUCACUUGCUCCUGUUAUUCAUCUGGAAGUGGAGCCCAUGCAUUUAAGUUCGACUGCCCACCAUGCCUAACUUGGAACUCCUGGCCAGAGUACCCUGAAAAGAUGCUGUUUCCUUCAUGUGGGUGUCAGCAGAGAGGUAUAUGGAGCAGGGCUCAUUUCUUUCCAGAUUCUGUGCCUCUUUAUACUCUCCUUUUAUUUUCCAAAGCUAUGUAAAGCUGAAUUGUUGAGUCGCACUUGACUUAAGUACCCCUUUCAUACUCCCUGGAGUUCUGAGAAACGUGUGGCAAGGCAAACACACACACACACACACACCUGUGCACAUGCCUGUGAUGUGAGUAAAUGUAGUGUCACAUCACCCAGAAAUACAUACAUGGACCAAAUUUGUCUUUGCUGCCUCCAGUCUAUCUCUGUCCCUCACUACUGCAAACUUGGUGUCCAAUCUUUUACCACUAUGAUUAUAAUGACAUUAAUAAUAAUAAUAAUACCUAACAUUUAUUCAGGCAAAUUUACCAGGUACUGUGCUAAAUGAUUUUCAUGCAUAAUGAUUGCAUCUGUUUCCUAGAACAACCUCUGAGAAAUUACUAUUAUCCCUUUUUUUUUUUUUUGCUAUAUUCUUGUAGCUUAUUUUAUACCUAACAGUUUGUACCUCUUGAGGUUUUCCUUUUUUCUUACUGAUAAAAUGUGCUGUUUGAAAAAUCUAACACUGUGUUAAAAAAAAAAAGAAACCCCAAAUUGUAGGAGCUUGAAGAACUAUUCGCAUCUCUCCUGGGUCUGGGAUGGGCUCAGAUGGGGGAUUCUCACGUGAAGUCUCAUGCAGUUGAAUUCAGGCAGUGACUGAAGCUGGAGUCACCUGAGACUUGACAGGGCUUUCAGAUGACUUCUUCUGUGGCUAGCAACUGGUUGGGAGCUCAACUAGAGGCUGUCAAGAAGAGUCUUACACUAGACAACUCCAUGAGUCUUGGGCUUCUCACAGCACUGCAAUCUCUCUCUCUUUUUUUUUUUUAAUUUUGAUGAUUUUAAUUUUUUUCCAUUAUAGCUGGUUUACAGUGCUCUGUCAGUUUUCUACUGUACAGCCAGGUGACCCAGUCACACAUACAUAUGUAUUUAUACAUUCUUCUUUUUUCUCACAUUAUUAUGCUCCAUCAUAAGUGACUAGAUAUAGUUCCCAGUGCUAGACAGCAGGAUCUCAUUGCUUACCCAUUCCAAAGGCAAUAGUUUGCAUCCAUUAACCCUAAAUUCCCAGUCCAUCCCACUCCCUCCCCCUCCCCCUUGGCAACCACAAGUCUGUUCUCCAAGUCCAUGCCUUUCUUUUCUGUGGAAAGGUUCAUUUGUGUUGUAUAUUAGAUUCCAGAUAUAAGUGAUAUCAUAUGGUAUUUGUCUUUCUCUUUCUUACUUACUUCACUUAGUAUAAGAGUCUCUAGUUCCAUCCAUGUUGCUGCAAAUGGCAUUGUUUUGUUCUUUUUGUUAGCUGAGUAGUAUUCCAUUGUGAAUAUAUACCCCAUCUUCUUAAUCCAUUCAUCUGUCGAUGGACAUUUAGGUUGUUUCCAUAUCUUGGCUAUUGUCAAUAGACAGCACUGCAGUCUCAAAGUAGAAGAACCUUUCACUUGGUACUUGGCUUCUAAGAUGGCGCAUCGAAAGAGUGAGGGUUCCAAUAGCACCAGGCAGAAGCUUCAAUUCUUUGGACCUAGUCUGGGAAGUCACUUAGUAACUUUGCUUGGUCAACUAGGUCACCAGACCAGACCAGAGUCAAGAAGAGAAUUAGACUUUACUUUUCAGUCGGAAGGGUGCCGUAGAAUCGGCAGCCAUCUUUAAUCUGGUUCAUGUUCUUCCACCAAAGCCUUAACAUGAUCCAGCAUCUCAACUGCAUUAUCUGUUCCUUGCGAUUAACUCAUCCUGGAGACAUCCUUCCCUGCCAGCGCCGUUUGACUGCCUUUUCUAAUAUAAAC
rnacentral:lncRNA from 1 species